GCCAGGCACAAUGGCACACAUCUGUAGUCCCAGCUACGCAGGAGGCUGAGGUGACAGGAUUGCUUGAGCACAGGAAAUUCUGAGCUCUGUGAGCCAUGCCAAUUAGUUCUCUAAGUCUGGCAUCAAUAUGAUGCUCUCUCAAGCAGGGGUGCCACCAGAUUGCCAGAGGGGGGAAGUGGCCUGAGAAGGAAAUGGAGCAGGUCAAAACUCCUAUGCUGACCUAGUAAUAGGAUCACACCUGUGAAUAGCCACUACACUCCAGCCUGGGCAACAUGGCGAGGCCCUAUCUCU
rnacentral:SRP_RNA from 1 species